rnacentral:rRNA from 1 species
UACGUAGGGCGCAAGCGUUGUCCGGAAUUAUUGGGCGUAAAGAGCUCGUAGGCGGCCAGUUGCGUCCGCUGUGAAAUCCCGGGGCUUAACCCCGGGCGUGCAGUGGAUACGGGCUGGCUAGAGGCAGGCAGGGGAGAACGGAAUUCCCGGUGUAGCGGUGAAAUGCGCAGAUAUCAGGAGGAACACCGAUGGCGAAGGCAGGUCUCUGGGCCACUACUGACGCUGAGAAGCGAAAGCAUGGGGAGCGAACAGG